UACAGAGGUCUCAAGCGUUGUUCGGAUUCAUUGGGCGUAAAGGGCUCGUAGGUGGCCAACUAAGUCAGACGUGAAAUCCCUCGGCUUAACCGGGGAACUGCGUCUGAUACUGGAUGGCUUGAGUUUGGGAGAGGGACGCGGAAUUCCAGGUGUAGCGGUGAAAUUCGUAGAUAUCGGGAGGAACACCAGUGGCGAAGGCGGCUCUCUGGCCAUCAACUGACGCUGAGACGCGAAAGCGUGGGGAGCAAACAGG
rnacentral:rRNA from 1 species